GAUGAAUCUAGACUUGUUCCUCUUAAUUUGCCUGGAGAUUAUGCUAGAGCUUUAAAAGAUGGUCCUGGCCAUGGUGGUGUUGCAGCAAUAGUAGAUGACCGUGCAUAUGUGGAGUUUUUCCUUUCAACGCGUUGCCAAUUCAGUAUUCUGGGUCAAGAAUUCAAAAAAAAUGGAAGGGGGUUUGUAAGUAGCUCUCUGUCAACUUCACCUUUCUGCUUUUACAUGUCUCGACUUUCCCUUUAUUAUACAUGUGAACCUGCCUUUGUGAAUUUAUCUCACUCUGUGAUGAAUUGACCAUAUUAUUAGCUAUCAAUAUUAACAACAUAAAGAGAUGAUGAAAUCGUGAAUCCUGUGAAUUCAAGUUUAGAAAAAUUGAUAAUGCAUGAGAAGUCUGUGCAUCUAACACUUGCAAAUCUGACAAGAAAAGUCUUUUUUCUACUGAUGCAUGGUUUUCUCCUUUGCUCCUUGUGAUAAGGAAUGAUUCUGCUUGGAAAAUGCUGACUAAACAUGCUCCUGAAGGUGAAUCAUACUACUAUUAGCUCAAUAUAUAAAAAGAGACUGAAAAUUUGGAAGUAUAAUUAUUAAAAUAAUUGAAUAAAAUGUACAAAGAGAAUAAUCAAAUAGGAUAAACAGUCAUAAAGAACUUACGUAAAAUCUAACUUUAUCCUAUGUUGGAUUACGGGUAUGGGUCACCCAUGUGGACCGACUCGACCUGACCCGACCAACCCGACCUGUUUCUUAUCAGGAAAAUAAGAUUAUUACAUAAUCUUAAUUCAAAAGAAAAAGAGGGGAGCAGUUGUAACCGUUCCCGCUCCAAAAGAUCUCAUAUAUGAUCUUAAUUCUUCUUCUCUUUUCUGAUAAGUGCAAGAGAGAAAAUACAGAGAGAAAAAUUGGGUCUUGAAAAAAUAGAAUCAAAAUUGACACAACACCAAACAAAAGCAUUUAGUUCGUGAAAUAUCAUUCCGUUUCCACAAGAAACGUAAUCGACUUAGAGCAAAAUCUUUUCGGAAGCAAAAACUACGAUCCGCUGCAAAUUUUAAGGUACACAACUUAUUGUUUUGCUCCAAAAUUACUUUCAAUGGUAUCAGAGUCAGGUUAAAUUGCUCCGAUUUAAAUGAUUUUGAUGUUGAGUUUAACUCUUCUUAUAAUUGAAAAUGAUACCUGUAAGAGAUCAAUGUAGUCCAGAACGUAAUCACAAUUUUGAACCACGGAUUUUGUUGCUGAUCUUUUUCCUUCGUUUGAUGACAUAACUCUGUUAAUUCUGUGAAAUAAAAAAAUAAAAUAAAGGAGAAGGAGUAGCAUAACAAGAUCUAUAAUAGAUCUGUGCAAAAAGGAAUUUCUAUAUCCUUCAAUUUUUUUUGAGAAAUAAUUAAAAGUUCUGUUUGUUUGUGAAUGAUAAAGAAUUGUCAAGGAUGAGGCGAUUUAUAUUUUUUUGCAAAAGAGGGUGUAAAACUAUUCCUUCUUUCCUUGAAAUAACGAAUGUUAAAUGAAAUUGCGAAGUGAUGUACAACUUGUAAAAGUACACCAUGUAGUGCUCUUAAAUAAUUUUUUAAAAUAAUAAUGAAGGCCUAAUAUCCGUGUAAAGAAAUUGGAUUGUUCUUUGCCUUACUUUUGACUUUGUCAAAUUGGUGAUAAAAACAGUAAAUGCUUUUUUCUAGAAAAGGGUGCAUA
rnacentral:lncRNA from 1 species